AUUGAACGCUGGCGGCAGGCCUAACACAUGCAAGUCGAACGGUAGCACAGAGAGCUUGCUCUCGGGUGACGAGUGGCGGACGGGUGAGUAACGUCUGGGAAACUGCCCGAUGGAGGGGGAUAACUACUGGAAACGGUAGCUAAUACCGCAUAACGUCGCAAGACCAAAGUGGGGGACCUUCGGGCCUCACACCAUCGGAUGUGCCCAGAUGGGAUUAGCAAGUAGGUGGGGUAAUGGCUCACCUAGGCGACGAUCCCUAGCUGGUCUGAGAGGAUGACCAGCCACACUGGAACUGAGACACGGUCCAGACUCCUACGGGAGGCAGAAGUGGGGAAUAUUGCACAAUGGGCGCACGCCUGAUGCAGCCAUGCCGCGUGUAUGAAGAAGGCCUUCGGGUUGUAAAGUACUUUCAGCGGGGAGGAAGGCGGUGAAGUUAAUAACUUCACCGAUUGACGUUACCCGCAGAAGCAGCACCGGCUAACUCCGUGCCAGCCGCCGCGGUAA
rnacentral:rRNA from 1 species